AUUGAACGCUGGCGGCAGGCCUAACACAUGCAAGUCGAGCGGAUGAAGGGAGCUUGCUCCUGGAUUCAGCGGCGGACGGGUGAGUAAUGCCUAGGAAUCUGCCUGGUAGUGGGGGAUAACGUCCGGAAACGGGCGCUAAUACCGCAUACGUCCUGAGGGAGAAAGUGGGGGAUCUUCGGACCUCACGCUAUCAGAUGAGCCUAGGUCGGAUUAGCUAGUUGGUGGGGUAAAGGCCUACCAAGGCGACGAUCCGUAGCUGGUCUGAGAGGAUGAUCAGUCACACUGGAACUGAGACACGGUCCAGACUCCUACGGGAGGCAGCAGUGGGGAAUAUUGGACAAUGGGCGAAAGCCUGAUCCAGCCAUGCCGCGUGUGUGAAGUAGGUCUUCGGAUUGUAAAGCACUUUAAGUUGGGAGGAAGGGCAGUAAGUUAAUACCUUGCUGUUUUGACGGUACCAACAGAAUAAGCACCGGCUAACUUCGUG
rnacentral:rRNA from 1 species